GACGAACGCUGGCGGCGUGCUUAACACAUGCAAGUCGAACGGAAAGGCCCUGCUUUUGUGGGGUGCUCGAGUGGCGAACGGGUGAGUAACACGGGAGUAACCUGCCCUGGACUUUGGGAUAACUUCAGGAAACUGGGGCUAAUACCGGAUAGGAGCUCCUGCUGCAUGGUGGGGGUUGGAAAGUUUAGGCGGUUGGGGAUGGACUCGCGGCUUAUCAGCUUGUUGGGGGGGUAGUGGCUUACCCAGGGUUUGACGGGUAGCCGGCCUGGGCGGGUGACCGGCCACAAUGGUACUGAGAUACGCCCCAGACGCCUACGGGAGGCAGCAGUGGCGAAUAUUGCACAAUGGGCGGGAGCCUGAUGCAGCAGCGCCGCGUGCGGGAUGACGGCCUUCGGGUUGUAAACCGCUUUCGCCUGUGACGAAGCGUGAGUGACGGUAAUGGGUAAAGAAGCACCGGCUAACUACGUG
rnacentral:rRNA from 1 species